rnacentral:rRNA from 1 species
UACGGGGGGGGCAAGCGUUGUUCGGAAUUACUGGGCGUAAAGGGCUCGUAGGUGGCCAACUAAGUCAGACGUGAAAUCCCUCGGCUUAACCGGGGAACUGCGUCUGAUACUGGAUGGCUUGAGUCCGGAAGAGGAGAGUGGAAUUCCCGGUGUAGCGGUGAAAUGCGCAGAUAUCGGGAAGAACACCCGUGGCGAAGGCGGCUCUCUGGGACGGUACUGACGCUGAGACGCGAAAGCGUGGGGAGCGAACAGG